AGCAGCCGCGGUAAUUCCAGCUCCAAUAGCGUAUAUUAAAGUUGUUGCAGUUAAAAAGCUCGUAGUUGAAUUUCGGGAUCAAUACGUCGGUCGUGCCUCCGGUAUGUACUGGUGUUAUUGAUUUCUCCCUUCUGAUGAACCAUGAUGUCAUUAAUUUGAUGUUGUGGGGAGUCAGGACUGUUACUUAUGAAAAAUUGAGUGUUUAAAGCAGGCUCACGCUUGAAUACAUUAGCAUGGAAUAAUGAAAUAGGACGUUCGAUCCUAUUUUGUUGGUUUCUAGGAUCAACGUAAUGAUUAAUAGGGAUAGUUGGGGGCAUUAGUAUUCAAUUGUCAGAGGUGAAAUUCUUGGAUUUAUGAAGACUAACUACUGCGAAAGCAUUUGCCAAGGAUGUUUUCAUUAAUCAAGAACGAAAGUUAGGGG
rnacentral:rRNA from 1 species